UAGAGUUUGAUCAUGGCUCAGAUUGAACGCUGGCGGCAGGCCUAACACAUGCAAGUCGAGCGGAAACGACAACAUUGAAUCUUCGGAGGAUUUGUUGGGCGUCGAGCGGCGGACGGGUGAGUAAUGCCUAGGAAAUUGCCUUGAUGUGGGGGAUAACCAUUGGAAACGAUGGCUAAUACCGCAUAAUGCCUACGGGCCAAAGAGGGGGACCUUCGGGCCUCUCGCGUCAAGAUAUGCCUAGGUGGGAUUAGCUAGUUGGUGAGGUAGUGGCUCACCAAGGCGACGAUCCCUAGCUGGUCUGAGAGGAUGAUCAGCCACACUGGAACUGAGACACGGUCCAGACUCCUACGGGAGGCAGCAGUGGGGAAAAUUGCACAAUGGGCGAAAGCCUGAUGCAGCCAUGCCGCGUGUAUGAAGAAGGCCUUCGGGUUGUAAAGUACUUUCAGUUGUGAGGAAGGGUGUGUAGUUAAUAGCUGCGCAUCUUGACGUUAGCAACAGAAGAAGCACCGGCUAACUCCGUGCCAGCAGCCGCGGUAAUACGGAGGGUGCGAGCGUUAAUCGGAAUUACUGGGCGUAAAGCGCAUGCAGGUGGUUCAUUAAGUCAGAUGUGAAAGCCCGGGGCUCAACCUCGGAACUGCAUUUGAAACUGGUGAACUAGAGUGCUGUAGAGGGGGGUAGAAUUUCA
rnacentral:rRNA from 1 species